CCAGGCUCCCACACACGUUAGAUGCACUGUGUAGGUUAGGUUACAGUUAGUUAUACUGGGUGGGUUUAUAUUAUUAAAGGGACACUCCAGGCUCCCACACACGUUAGAUGCACUGUGUUGGUUAGGUUACAGUUAGUUAUACUGGGUGGGUUUAUAUUAUUAAAGGGACACUCCAGGCUCCCACACAUGUUAGAUGCACUGUGUUGGUUAGGUUACAGUUAGUUAUACUGGGUGGGUUUAUAUUAUUAAAGGGACACUCCAGGCUCCCACACACGUUAGAUGCACUGUGUAGGUUAGGUUACAGUUAGUUAUAUUGGGUGGGUUUAUAUUAUUAAAGGGACACUCCAGGCUCCCACACACGUUAGAUCCACUAUGUAUGUUAGGUUACAGUUAGUUAUACUGGGUGCGUUUAUAUUAUUAAAGGGACACUCCAGGCUCCCACACACGUUAGGUGCACUGUGUAGGUUAGAUUACAGUUAGUUAUAUUGGGUGGGUUUAUAUUAUUAAAGGGACACUCCAGGCUCCCACACACGUUGGAUGCACUGUGUUAGUUAGGUUACAGUUAGUUAUACUGGGUGGGUUUAUAUUAUUAAAGGGACACUCCAGGCUCCCACACACGUUAGAUGCACUGUGUAG